GUUGCGUUUUUCAUACGUACGUUUACGCACGUAAAACUUUAAAUCCGUUUAAAUGUUACUUAUGAAAUAACCAAAUAAAUAAAGCAACAGAAUUUAGUGUUCCGCAAGUUUUAGUAUGCAUUUGUUAACUUAUUUGUAAAAUAUUUAAAAAAUAGAAGAAUUCAAAGUUUUACGUGCGUGUACGUGCGUACGAAAACGCAAC
rnacentral:miRNA from 1 species